rnacentral:rRNA from 1 species
UACGAAGGGGGCUAGCGUUGCUCGGAAUCACUGGGCGUAAAGGGCGCGUAGGCGGCCUUCUAAGUCAGACGUGAAAUCCCCCGGCUUAACCUGGGAACUGCGUCUGAUACUGGAAGGCUUGAGUGCGGGAGAGGGAUGUGGAAUUCCAGGUGUAGCGGUGAAAUGCGUAGAUAUCUGGAGGAACACCGGUGGCGAAGGCGGCAUCCUGGACCGACACUGACGCUGAGGCGCGAAAGCUAGGGUAGCAAACGGG